rnacentral:rRNA from 1 species
GUGUCAGCAGCCGCGGUAAUACGUAGGGUCCGAGCGUUGUCCGGAAUUACUGGGCGUAAAGAGCUCGUAGGUGGUUUGUCGCGUUGUUCGUGAAAACUCACAGCUCAACUGUGGGCGUGCGGGCGAUACGGGCAGACUUGAGUACUGCAGGGGAGACUGGAAUUCCUGGUGUAGCGGUGGAAUGCGCAGAUAUCAGGAGGAACACCGGUGGCGAAGGCGGGUCUCUGGGCAGUAACUGACGCUGAGGAGCGAAAGCGUGGGGAGCGAACAGGAUUAGAAACCCCCGUAGUCC